CGUGCUACAAUGGCGCAUACAAAGAGAAGCGACCUCGCGAGAGCAAGCGGACCUCAUAAAGUGCGUCGUAGUCCGGAUUGGAGUCUGCAACUCGACUCCAUGAAGUCGGAAUCGCUAGUAAUCGUGGAUCAGAAUGCCACGGUGAAUACGUUCCCGGGCCUUGUACACACCGCCCGUCACACCAUGGGAGUGGGUUGCAAAAGAAGUAGGUAGCUUAACCUUCGGGAGGGCGCUUACCACUUUGUGAUUCAUGACUGGGGUGAAGUCGUAACAAGGUAACCGUAGGGGAACCU
rnacentral:rRNA from 1 species